AUGGAAUUGGUUGUGUCAAUGUUAUAAAAUGGACAUUCGUAGACAUUUGAAGCAAAAGCAUCACAUCACUGCUCAAACAUAGGUUUACACAUAUAAUCCGAGAGAAGAAACAAUAAUUAGAUUUCAAUGGAGGAAGAGAGAAGAAACGAAGAAGAAAGCUCUCAUCAUCUUUGUAUCCCUUUUCAAUUCAUUAACGAAGCCCUCAACACCUUCCUCAACUGUAUUGGUUUUCAUAUUUCUCCUUCAACUUCUUCGCCAUCUUCGGAGGAGGAGGCUACGAACGAGGUUGUGCCAACGACAAGGGGACUAAUAGUCAAAUCAAAGGGAAGGCCGAGAGAGACGGCUAGCUCAGGAAAGCCAGGCCGCCGUAACUAAUUAAUGAUUUCAUUAAUUGUUUUUCUAUUUUCUUUUGUAAUGGCCCCUAAAUCAUUAGAAAGAGAUUGUGUUUGCACUUGCGUGCAGUUGACAUCAGAUCAUAAACAUAUAUCGUUAUGUAUUAUAUUUUCAGAACAUUAUAAAU